CUUCAUUUCUUCAUAUGAAGAUUUUUGAUAGUGAUAAAGGUGGAAAAGCCUGCGUCCUCCUAGAUAGGCUUCAUGGAUGCUCCACGUAAAGCUCACAGGCUGUGAAUGACCAGAUUACUUGCAGCAGUCUGUUAACUCAUCUUAUUACUAGAUCAUGAAUCUUCUAGCUGACGCCUUGAGUGAUGAGGAGGUGUUGUGAUGAUUUGUAUCUAUUUUGCUGUUUUAUAUUACUGUGCCUCCUGUGAAAUGAAUUAUAAUGCCAAAUCAUUGAGGAAAUAAGAUUUAAGGGAGGCUUUGCGACAUGAGUGCAAUAUUUCAGAAAAUGUAAUUAGGAAAUAUUUAGAGGAGCAAGACACCUUAAUAACUGUCUUCAGUGGAACUGAGAGUAUCUGGAUCCCCUUGAAGAAAAUGAACUCUCAGCAUUUAUCCUUGCUAUGCCUGUAACAUAAAGCAACCAUAUUUCAAAAACAAGGAACAGAAGAGGAGAAUGAAUGGCGGGAGCAGUGGCAGGAGCCGUCAGGUGUGUGCUAAAGGGUCUGUAGGAGCGGUUUGUGCCCACAGGUCAGAUUUUUGCAAGGGCUCCCAUUUUACAAACACAACCUUUCUGUUCAUCGAGCUACAGCGCCGGAAUAACCUAGCUGGCAACUCUUCAGACCGAAAUCUGGGAUUGCUGUAACAAUUGCUCAUUUGCAAGGCCGCUCUUCCCAGCAGCGAAGCCUCCCGGGCGCCGAGCUGCAUCCCCCUCUGCCAGCUUUUCCUCUCCAGUAAAGGGGCAUCAAGGGCUCCUUUCCGUAGAAAACACGAAGACCGAAGUGAAGCUGGAAAUGUUUCACUGCUUUUGCCAUCUUGUGUAUCCAGAUCUCAUUUUCUAGAGCAGAAGACAUCCCUUUCUAGACUGCCUGGGGAAUCCUUGCCUCUGCUCAGUGUGACCCUUUGCAGUGACUGCAACUGAAAUAAACACUGGGAAAUUAUAACGUGGCAGAGAAUCAACGAAACACGUCAGAGGAUGCGGUAGCGUAUAGUGUGGGUCCAAACCAAGCAUGCUUUGGUAGGCUUGCAUCCCUGCUUCUAAGGGGUUGGCAGUUCGUAACGUAAAAUAGGCUAUAAAUGCUCCAUUAAUGCUUCCCAUCGCUGCCAGCCCUGUGGGACUUCUCAAGGUCUCCGUUGCAUGAGCUGUCAGCUCUCCCUAAAACCCGAGCUCCCUGGAUGGCUGAGCGUACCUGAGUAGUUACGUAUGGCACUGUGCCGGCGGCGGAUGCUGACAAACCUAGGCUGUCCCUCCCCACCUGCCCUCCUCCAUAAGAACCGGGUUUUUUUUCCCCCCUCGGACAGUGCCGAUUGCCAGAUGCUGCAUCUACAAGCACGACAGCUAUUUUCUCCUCUAACAGCUGGGCUGAGUACCAAAAGCCCUUAACAGAUGUGUCUGCAUCUAAAGGAAACGUGAAUACGGAGAAGUCAGGCUAUGUCAAUAAGACUAAAUGUAAUGAGCCUUUCUAAUGAAUGUCUUCAGAGUGUUAAAUUAGGCUCCUAAGUGCAGGCUGGGUUAGAUGGUUCAUGCCAGAUCGUAUUUGUGAGGUGUUCAGCACUAACACGUUGCGGAAGGCCCGGGUGUUGCUAGAUGGGAUGUACACACAGCUCCUCCUGGGUGCUUCCAGCAGCUGGGUGCCUUGCGCUUGCUGCCUGGCAGCUCUCAGGAUGCCCCGCUGCCUGUUUGAGGUGUGUAGCAACAGUACAUCUAUCUUGUUACAUUAAUUAACGAGGUAAUAAAAUUACUUAUUUCAGGACGUGGUUAUUGCUCCUUGUGUGUGUAACUCUUAAACAAAGCCAAACCCCUGAGCUGUUCUGGAAGCAAAAUCGUAUGGUGAAGGUCCCAGCCACGCAAGGCUGAUUUGGUGAAUACACCGAUAAUUAUACAGUUGGUAAUUUUUUUGUGUCAAAGCGUAGUACCUCAAUGUGUCUUAAUCUGCGUAUACCUAUUGUUUUGGAUUUCUUGUAUUUAUUUCACCAUUUUGUGACCAAAAAUCAAAUACAGAUGCAAAUUUGA